GUCCCCCUGUCCCCGUGUCCCCAUGUCCGUCUGUCCCCGCAGAGGGCCGCUCUCUGAAGGACGAGGACGUGCUGCAGUCUCUCCCCGUGGGCACCACGGCCACCUUCUACUUCCGGGACCUGGGGGCGCAGAUCAGCUGGGUGACGGUGCGCGGCCGCCUGUCCGUCUGUCCGUCCGUGUCCCCCUGUCCGUCCGUGUCCCCCUGUCCGUCCAUGUCCCCCUGUCCAUCCGUGUCCCCCUGUCCGUCCCUGUGUCUAUCCUAUGUCCCUCUGGCCCCCUGUCCAUCCCACGUCCCUGUGUCCCUCUGCCCACCCCUGUGUCCGCCCGUGUCCCCCCUAUCCAUCGAUUGUCCUUCUGUCCGUCCCUCUGUCCAUCCCCUUGUCCAUCCUGUGUCCUUCUGUCCGCCCGUGUCCCUCUGUCCCUCUGUCCAUCCCACAUGCCUCUGCCCCUCUGUCCGCCCCUGUGUCCACCCAUGUCCCCCUGUCCAUCCCAUGUCCUUCUGUCCGUCCCUGUGUCCACCCCAUGUCCCUCUGUCCUUCUGUCCAUCCCCUUGUCCAUCCCAUGUCCGUCUGUCCAUCCCCCAUCCCUCUGUCCGCCCGUGUCCCCUUGUCUGUCCCAUGUCCCUCUGUCUGUCUCUCUGCCCAUCCGUGUCCACCCCAUGUCCUCCUGUCUGUCCCACGUCCCUCUGUCUGUCCCUGUGUCCAUCCCGUGUCCCUCUGUCCCCCUGUCCAUCCGACGCCCCUCUGUCCCUCUGUCUGUCUGUCUAUCCGUCUCAUGUCCUUUCAUCCCUGUGUCCACCGCCCUGUCUGCCUGUGUCCCCCUGUCUGUCCCGUGUCCCUCUGUCUCUCUGUCCAUCCCUCUGUCCGCCUGUGUCCCUCCGUCCCUCUGUCCACCCAUGUCCCCCUGUCCGUCCCAUGUCCCUUUGUCCUUCUGUCCAUCCCCUCGUCCAUCCCAUGUCCCUCUGUCCACCCGUGUCCCCCUGUCCGUCCCAUGUCCCUCUAUCUGUCCCUGUGUCCAUCCCAUGUCCUUCUGUGCCUCUGUCCAUCCCACGUCCCACUGUCCGUCCCUGCAUCCCUCUGUCCAUCCGUCCCUCUGUCCAUCCCUCCAUCCUUCUCUGUGUACCUCUGUCCAUCCCAUGUCCCUCUGUCCGUCCCUCUCUCUGUCCAUCCCUCCAUCCUUCCCUGUAUCCCUUUGUCCAUCCCACAUCCCUCUGUCCAUCCCAUCAUCCCUCCCCAUGUCCCUCUGUCCAUCCCACAUCACACUGUCCGUCUCUGCAUCCCUCUCUCCAUCCGUCCCUCUGUCCAUGCUUCCAUCCUUCCCAUGUCCCUCUGUCCAUCCCACGUCCCUCUGUCCAUCCCAUCAUCCCUGCCUGUGUCCCUCUGUCCAUCCCACGUCCCUCUGUCCAUUCCUCCAUCCCUACCCAUGUUCCUCUGUCCAUCCCAUGUCCCUCUGUCCGUCCCUCUCUCUGUCCAUUCCUCCAUCCUUCCCCGUGUCCCUCUGUCCAUCCCAUGUCCCUCUGUCCCUCUCUCCAUCCCUCCCCGUGUCCCUCUGUCCAUCCCGUGUCCCUCUGUCCGUUCCUCUCUCUGUCCAUUCCUCCAUCCCUCCCUGUGUCCCUCUGUCCAUCCCACGUCCCUCUGUCCAUCCCAUCAUCCCUCCCUGUGUCCCUCUGUCCAUCCCACGUCCCUCUGUCCAUCCCUCCAUCCCUCCCCGUGUCCCUCUGUCCAUCCCGUGUCCCUUUGUCCGUCCCUCUCUCUGUCCAUUCCUCCAUCCCUCCCUGUGUCCCUCUGUCCAUCCCACGUCCCUCUGUCCAUCCCAUCAUUCCUACCCAUGUCCCUCUGUCCAUCCCAUGUCCCUCUGUCCGUUCCUCUCUCUGUCCAUCCCUCCAUCCUUCCCUGUGUCCUUCUGUCCAUCCCACGUCCCUCUGUCCAUCCCAUCAUCCCUGCCUGUGUUCCUCUGUCCCUCUCUCCAUCCCUCCCCGUGUCCUUUUGUCCAUCCCAUCAUCCCUACUCAUGUUCCUCUGUCCAUCCCUUUGUCCAUCCCACGUCUCUCUGUCCAUUCCAUCAUCCCUCCCCAUGUCCCUCUGUCCAUCCCACGUCCCUCUGUCCAUCCCAUCAUCCCUACCCAUGUUCCUCUGUCCAUCCCGUGUCCCUUUGUCCGUCCCUCUGUCCAUCCCUCUAUCCUUCCCUGUGUCCCUCUGUCCAUCCAACAUCCCUCUGUCCAUCCCUCCAUCCCUCCCCGUGUCCCUCUGUCCGUCCCUCUCUCUGUCCAUUCCUCCAUCUCUCUCCGUGUCCCUCUGUCCAUCCCACGUCCCUCUGUCCAUCCCAUCAUCCCUCCCCAUGUCCCUCUGUCCAUCCCACGUCCCGCUGUCCAUCCCAUCAUCCCUACCCAUGUCCCUCUGUCCAUCCCAUGUCCCUCUGUCCGUCCCUCUCUCUGUCCAUUCCUCCAUCCUUCCCCGUGUCCCUCUGUCCAUCCCACGUCCCUCUGUCCAUUUCAUCAUCCCUGCCUGUGUCCCUCUGUCCAUCUCUCCAUCCUUCCCUGUGUCCCUCUGUCCAUCCCACGUCCCUCUGUCCAUCCCUCCAUCCCUCCCCGUGUCCCUCUGUCCAUCCCGUGUCCCUCUGUCCGUCCCUCUCUCUGUCCAUUCCUCCAUCCUUCGCUGUGUCCCUCUGUCCAUCCCACGUCCCUCUGUCCAUCCCUCCAUCCCUCCCCGUGUCCCUCUGUCCGUCCCUCUCUCUGUCCAUUCCUCCAUCCCUCUCCGUGUCCCUCUGUCCAUCCCACGUCCCUCUGUCCAUUCCUCCAUCCCUACCCGUGUCCCUCUGUCCAUCCCGUGUCCCUCUGUCCGUCCCUCUCUCUGUCCAUCCCUCCAUCCCUCCCUGUGUCCCUCUGUCCAUCCCACGUCC
ensembl:lncRNA